UGAGGCAAAAGACUCAAGUUAGCUGC
rnacentral:piRNA from 1 species